UGAGUAACCUGCCCUUAACUCUGGGAUAAGCCUGGGAAACUGGGUCUAAUACCGGAUAUGACUCCUCAUCGCAUGGUGGGGGGUGGAAAGCUUUAUUGUGGUUUUGGAUGGACUCGCGGCCUAUCAGCUUGUUGGUGAGGUAAUGGCUCACCAAGGCGACGACGGGUAGCCGGCCUGAGAGGGUGACCGGCCACACUGGGACUGAGACACGGCCCAGACCUCCCGUACGGGGAGGCAG
rnacentral:rRNA from 1 species